rnacentral:rRNA from 1 species
UGACGACGAGAUGCUAAGGCGUUGAAGCAGUGUACGUCAGACUUCCAAGAAAAGCUCGCAAUGUCAUAAAUAGAAAAUGCCUGUACCAUAACCGACACAGGUGGGUAGGUAGAGUAUACUAAGGGGCGCGAGAUAACUCUCUCUAAGGAACUCGGCAAAAUGACUCCGUAACUUCGGGAGAAGGAGUGCCUUAUUUAUAAGGUUGCAAUAACAAGAUCCAAGCAACUGUUUAUCAAAAACACAGGUCUCCGCUAAGUCGUAAGACGAUGUAUGGGGGCUGACGCCUGCCCAGUGCCAGAAGGUUAAAGAAGUUGGUUAGUGUAUGCGAAGCUGAUGACUGAAGCCCUGGUGAACGGCGGCCGUAACAAUAACGGUCCUAAGGUAGCGAAAUUCCUUGUCGGGUAAGUUCCGACCCGCACGAAAGGCGUAAUGAUUUGGAUACUGUCUCGGAGAGAGGCUCGGUGAAAUAGACUUGUCUGUGAAGAUGCGGACUACCUGCACCAGGACAGAAAGACCCUAUGAAGCUUUACUGUAACUUGAAAUUGGAAUUGGACUUUGCUUGCGCAGUAUAGGUGGGAAGCGUUGAAGAUAUUCUUGCGGGAGUAUUGGAGCUAUCAGUGAGAUACCACUCUUGUAAUGUUAGAUUUCUAACUUUGAACCAUAAUCUGGUCAAAGAACAGUUUCAGGUGGGCAGUUUGACUGGGGCGGUCGCCUCCCAAAUGGUAACGGAGGCGUACAAAGGUUUCCUCUGAACGGAUAGAAAUCGUAUCUAGAGUGUAAAGGCAUAAGGAAGCUUGACUGUGAGACCUACAAGUCGAGCAGGGACGAAAGUCGGUCUUAGUGAUCUGACGGUACUGAGUGGAAAGGCCGUCACUCAACGGAUAAAAGUUACUCUAAGGAUAACAGGCUGAUCUCCCCCAAGAGUUCACAUCGACGGGGAGGUUUGGCACCUCGAUGUCGGCUCAUCGCAUCCUGGGGCGGUAGUACGUCCCAAGGGUUGGGCUGUUCGCCCAUGAAAGCGGUACGCGAGCUGGGUUCAGAACGUCGUGAGACAGUUCGGUCCAUAUCCGGUGUAGGCGUUAGAAUAUUGAGAGGAGCCUUCUUUAGUACGAGAGGACCGAGAAGGACACACCGCUGGUGUACCAGUUAUCGUGCCAACGGUAAACGCUGGGUAGCUAUGUGUGGAGUGGAUAACCGCUGAAAGCAUCUAAGUGGGAAGCCCACCUCAAGAUGAGUAUUCUCA